UAAGGUCACGGCGAGACGAGCCGUUUAUCAUUCCGAUAGGUGUCAAGUGGAAGUGCAGUAAUGUAUGCAGCUGAGGCAUCCUAACAGACCGAGAGAUUUGAAC
rnacentral:rRNA from 1 species